CACCGCCUGGGGAGUACGACCGCAAGGUUAAAACUCAAAUGAAUUGACGGGGACCCGCACAAGUAGUGGAGCAUGUGGUUUAAUUCGAAGAUACGCGCAGAACCUUACCAACACUUGACAUGUUCGUCGCGGCUCUAAGAGAUUAGAGCCUUCGGUUCGGCCGGACGAAACACAGGUGCUGCAUGGCUGUCGUCAGCUCGUGUCGUGAGAUGUUGGGUUAAGUCCCGCAACGAGCGCAACCCUCACUUUUAGUUGCCAUCAUUUAGUUGGGCACUCUGAAAGAACUGCCAGUGAUAAGCUGGAGGAAGGUGGGGAUGACGUCAAGUCCUCAUGGCCCUUACGUGUUGGGCUACACACGUGCUACAAUGGCAUUUACAAUAGGAAGCAAGAUGGCGACGUCAAGCAAAUCCUAAAAAGAUGCCUCAGUUCGGAUUGUACUCUGCAACUCGAGUACAUGAAGCUGGAAUUACUAGUAAUCGCGGAUCAGCGCGCCGCGGUGAAUACGUUCCCGGGUCUUGUACACACCGCCCGUCACACCAUGGGAGUUGGUUCUACCUUAAGGCAAGGUUUAAAACCCUUGACCACGGUAUAGUCGGCGACUGGGGUGAAGUCGUAACAAGGUAGCCGUAGGGGAACCUGCGGCUGGAUUACCUCCUUUCUAAGGAUGAGUAAGAAUUCGUUCUUAUUCUAAAUAAUAUAACAGGUUAAUGUUGACCGUCCUCAUUUCUCUUCUUGAAAAAGUGUUUCUCUCUUCUACGUAGGGGCCGGUAGCUCAGUUGGUUAGAGCACACCCUUGAUAAGGGUGGGGUCGAAAGUUCGAGUCUUUCUCGGCCCACCAUAAUAUUACUGGGGGAUUAGCUCAGCUGGGAGAGCGCCUGAUUUGCAUUCAGGAGGUCAGCGGUUCGAUCCCGCUAUCCUCCACCAUGAAACACUUAGUUAUUUUAUUUUGUGAAAAAAAUUUUAUAUUAUCAAUAUCUAUAUCCGAUUGUUCGAAUUGAUGAACAAUCUAUAAAUAUUCGAAUAGAUGAAUAUUUAAUAAAAAUUUGAUUCAACACAGAAUUUUUUUCUG
rnacentral:sRNA from 1 species